UUGAUUACCUAAUAUCUUAGUCCUAUAUUUGAUAUCACUUACUGAUUAGUUAAGCUUGUUUCCUUAGUUAAUAGUAGUGGCUGAAGUGUAAUCAGCAGAGUAAUUAAUAGAUUUAAAGAAUUUAGAUUAUACAUAAAAAAAUCCUUAAGUCUAAUACCGCUAGAGUCACACAUGGCAAGUAUAGAUGCCGUGAGAUUGAGUUGAAUAACCACAUGCAGUAUGCAAAACAAUAAAGAAAAGAAGAAGAAGAAGAAAAAACACCACAGAGCAAGAAAUGUUCUCCUGUUCAAAAUCAUGUGAAGCUCACUGUGCAGAAGCACACAGAACAGGAUGAGUGCAUGUUGCGUAGGUGAAGGAAAUGGAAACCACAGGUAUAAAAAUAAAGAGACCAGUGACAGAUAGUGUUGUGUGAUUUGGAUGGUGACUGUGAGGAUUAGACUGGAUUAAUUUAUAUUUUGAGGCCAUUUUUGACGUACCUGGCUUGUGUUUAAGAUGGAUUGGCUAUACCGGAGGAAGACUCCUUUGUUUCUGGCCGUGUUUGUAGUUUUCAUGCUCCAUGUGAGGACUGACGCACAAGGUCCUGGCCACCAAUGCCCUGUCUUUAAAGUUCAGAGAGGGGCUGUUCAUAAAGCCUGUAUAAACAAGCCUUUCAACAUCUCCUGCAAACUGAAGUAUUGUGAUAAUCAGACAAUCAAUAUUAUAUGGACUAAAGAAAACCUGAAAGGAUGGAUUCCAGUGUCUGGAACAGGUCAAAUGUCAACAUCACAGAUCUAUUCAGCACCUGAUCUUCUGACUUCAUAUUUAACUUUCACAAAUAUAUGAAAUAAUCAUGAUGGCCUCUACAGAUGUGAACUACAGUUACCAAACUUGUUAACAUUCAGCCAUUAUAUUAAUAUUUCUGUCUCAGAUGACAGCCUGGAAGAUGAAAUGUCUUACACUGAUAGUAAGAGCAGUUUUAAUCUAUGUUUUAAUCUGAUGUGUGAAAUGUUCCACUCAAAGCUUUCAUAUGAUUCAGUUCAUAAAAGUUAUAUAAAUUUGUCAUUUUAUUAUAUUCUGUAAAUUUGGUUAAUGUUCUAACUUUGAACAUUGCUUCUCCUUUUUCAAAAGAAUAUGGAUGCUUUCUCUUUUUUAUUUUUUAGUGACAACAGAAAGAGACACUGAUUCCAGCUCUGAUUCAAAGCCAUGGUGGAUGCCGUAUCUCUUUAUCUGUAUGGGUGUAGGGAUUCCUGUUCUCAUAUUAAUACUCUUCUUUAUCCUGUGUAUUAAUGGAUUUAAAACUUUGAGAAGAAAGAACACACAGAAAGCACAUGUUGAGUAUACAGAUCUUCUGAAGUGUGAUGAAUUUGUCUGUGUUCAGUACUCAGAAGAAACACUGACCACAACACAUCCGGCCUUAACACCUGAAGUGUCUACACUCUAUGUGUCAUAUAGCGGUGAUGAUCCUUUAUACAUGAGAGAUAACUGCUUGAGCCAGGUUGUAUAUACAUCUCUGCUUCACCAGUAAAAUCAUCUACUGCAGCCCGUCAGAAAGGUUAUCCAUCAGAACAUUUUAAAAUAUGUUCCAAUUGACACAAAGCUUUAUGUAGUUUUGUAACAAUUAUGUUUAGUAGUUGAUCAUCUGGUGAUCAUUUUGAAAACACAAUAAAUGUUUUGUUCUUUUAGAGGCUUAGAUUUAAUACCUUCAUAAUGCAUUUGGGUUAGUUUUUUUUAUUUAUUUAUUUUUUUUUUUUUGAAUGAAAACUUGAAUGUGAAAUGAAAUGAAACUUUGAAUGUGUUAACACUGUCGAAAUACAUAUAAUUUUUUUUCUUUAAAUUUAACCAAAUUGUUACACCUGUUUUAACCUGAAAGUGAACUUAAGUGUAAGUGAAAUUUUUGUGAACAGAUUUUUUUCAUCUUUUAGUUAGAUUUGUCUCAUUUUACUUCUGUAAAAUACAUUUAGCCUCUUUCUUUUACUCACACACACAUUUUUUCCUUCCCUCCAUGACUGCAUUUUGUUUAUGAACAUUGCUUGUGUAUGCGCACACACAAUACAUGAAAAGGAAAGAGGGUUUGAACAAGAAGUCCACAUUUCACUCUGCUGCCACCUACUGGUGAAUCAUUGCAGCAUUAAAAGGAGAUUGUGCCUGUUUGCCAUCUUUAAACGUCCAAAAAAAAAAUAUGCAAGUCAAAUAUAUAUUUUGUUUUAAAACAUUUAAGAGUAAUACUGAUGUUGUUAAAGUUUCUCAUAAAUAUUGAUAAAAAUAUAUUUUAUUGCAUCA